rnacentral:rRNA from 1 species
UAUAAGACUGGGAUAACUUCGGGAAACCGGAGCUAAUACCGGAUAAUAUAUUGAACCGCAUGGUUCAAUAGUGAAAGACGGUUUUGCUGUCACUUAUAGAUGGAUCCGCGCCGCAUUAGCUAGUUGGUAAGGUAACGGCUUACCAAGGCAACGAUGCGUAGCCGACCUGAGAGGGAGAUCGGCCACACUGGAACUGAGACACGGUCCAGACUCCUACGGGAGGCAGCAGUAGGGAAUCUUCCGCAAUGGGCGAAAGCCUGACGGAGCAACGCCGCGUGAGUGAUGAAGGUCUUCGGAUCGUAAAACUCUGUUAUUAGGGAAGAACAAAUGUGUAAGUAACUAUGCACGUCUUGACGGUACCUAAUCAGAAAGCCACGGCUAACUACGUGCCAGCAGCCGCGGUAAUACGUAGGUGGCAAGCGUUAUCCGGAAUUAUUGGGCGUAAAGCGCGCGUAGGCGGUUUUUUAAGUCUGAUGUGAAAGCCCACGGCUCAACCGUGGAGGGUCAUUGGAAACUGGAAAACUUGAGUGCAGAAGAGGAAAGUGGAAUUCCAUGUGUAGCGGUGAAAUGCGCAGAGAUAUGGAGGAACACCAGUGGCGAAGGCGACUUUCUGGUCUGUAACUGACGCUGAUGUGCGAAAGCGUGGGGAUCAAACAGGAUUAGAUACCCUGGUAGUCCACGCCGUAAACGAUGAGUGCUAAGUGUUAGGGGGUUUCCGCCCCUUAGUGCUGCAGCUAACGCAUUAAGCACUCCGCCUGGGGAGUACGACCGCAAGGUUGAAACUCAGAG